AUUUGAGAAAUAAAACAAAUCUCUGUUCAAACUUUCAUUUUUAUCAUUCAUAUUCACAAAAAUUUUAUAGUUUAAUAAUUUCACCAAAUGUUCGAUAAAAAUUUGACGAAAAAAUUCUUUAGUCUAAUCUUUAAGAAAUCUUAUGAGAUAAGCAAUAAUAAAAUAAAAAUUUUCAAGAGUUUUUUUAUUUUUCUAAAAGUUACAUCACAAAUUGUCUCUAAUAAACGAUAUACAAACGAUAUCUCGCGUCACGAUCCUUGACGUAAAACUGUUCGGAUUGAAUUUACAUCGACAGGCCACAUGGUAACGUUGCUUUUUACGAGUUCGUGGAUUUCUUGGCUGAUUUCCUCGAUAAUUAUGAGACUGGAGAAUUGCGUUUAGCCCAGCCAUGUAUCACUGGAGAACGAACAAACCGAACCAACUCGUGCUAAAUUGGAUCAUAUUACGUAAGCUUACACGAUUAAAGAACCCCGGGACAAAUCCGUGCAUCGACUUUACGAGUUUCAAUUAUGAACUCCAACGUAAACGUCUCGUUCUUUUAUGAGAGGGAGGAAAAAAGAGGAGAAUAAUGAACAGAAACUGUCAGAUUACGCUGUUAAAUGUUGCAGACGUUUUAAUCGUGCACUUUAAAAUUUUGUUCUAUUAGCAGCAUGUCAGCAUUCAUGUCAUUUCACAUAGUUCUGGAUAAUUUAAUUUUCUUAUCUGAAUAAAAAAUAUAUUUUAUUAUUAUUUAGAAUAAAAAUAAAAAGUAAUUAUAUUUAUUUAUUUCUUAAUUCUGUUACAUUCUUAUGUUCCAUGCAAUAUUUUUUCAAUUGAUUAAAUUUAUAGAAAUAUGAUAGAAUCAUUAAUCACAUGUAUCAUUUCUUAUAUGUCCUAUCUUAUAUGCCAAGUCUUUUUUAUUCACUUCACAAAACGAUUGACCAAUCCCAUGACAUCGAUUCGAGUCUAAUUCAUUAUCGAUCCGUCGCAAUAAUGAAAUAUCGUACACGUUGAUUUUAUUAUUUUAACGUUCGUUCAAAUGUUCUAAAUGCGCUUUCGUUUUCUUACACACAGAUUACUUCAUCGUAUUCUUACCAUUAAUAUACCAACGACCGCGACCCAACAAUUUUCUUUCGAAUUGCAUACCACACCGGCCAAAUGUAAAAUGUCGUAACUAAGUCUUUCACCAAGGCGAGAGGAAUUAAUUUCUUAACGGGAUCCCGUAACUUCUCUAUCGUAUCAAAUACGCCAAUUCGCCGUCGUUAGAUGGCAGCGCGACCCGAAUUGUGUGUGUUCGUUUAGUCGCAAAUUCGCGUUACGUAAGGGAUUAUUUUCAGGUUAUAAUACUCGAGUUCUGGUGAUAUCAAUCAGAAUAAUUCGAGACGAUUUAUGUGUAAAUACGUGUGGACUCCAGAAUAUAACGCGAUGAAGACGAUCGCGACGAAUAUACUAUUUUUGUUGCCACUAUAUACAAGAUAUGCGGAUGAGGUAUACAAUUGAGCAUCUUAAACUUCAACAAAACGAAGAUCUCGAUAUUCAUUUUAUGAAAGUAAAAGCGACAUGUUCGUUACUCUCGAGAAUAUACACAUAGGCAUAAGAGGAAAGAAGGAAUUUUGCAAAGUGCACCGCAAAUGCAUCCUAGUGAUUCGAUCGUACGACUCUGACCUUGUCUGGAUGUUCACCCCGCGCGGUUCGUUCGCUCGAUGCUGGUUGAGUCGACUUUGGGACCGAGCCGGCUCUCACUUAUGUAAUUCGAAGCGGGUCACGGCCAGACACUCGAAAAACCCGCCUUUCUCCGCCGACAUUUGAAUCGGCCGCAUUGCAGAACGCUAGGAUGCUUGAUGCAACUAGUCGUUUGGCAAGAACAUGUUGGCUAACAAUUAAUAACACAUACUAUCCGCAAGAGAUAUCGAUCAACGGAUACCAUGAAACGAUCAUGAUCAUCUUUAGUAGCAAUAAGGAACGGAACUGGUUUUAUGAGAAUAUUAUCCGAUAUGUUGAGGUGAACGUCAAUUAUAAAGGUUCGUGUAUUAAAUCAGCAAUGUCACGCACGAUAUUACCGGCUGGAAACGAAUCUUUUCCAGAAGGAAGAAACAUAAAAGUAAGUUGGAAAGCGUGUGGAAGUAAAUUGGAACCAUGCAUGCCAUGAUGCAGAUGAUUUUUUAGAAUGGCACACGAUCGUAAAAAGCCGGUUUUACGCAUACGAAAUAAUUUAUGUAAUUCAGAGCCGGGGGUCGUGGUAAAAUUAGCCAACCCCGUGUACAAAUAUGCGAAACGGCUUGGGCGCCAUCCGCAUAUUUACAAACGCAUCAUCAUUCUAUAAGUGAUGUUUUACGAUCAAACGUCCAUGGAAUCAGAUCGUAUGAUACAAAAAUAAAAGAAAGACUUUACUGUACGAUACACGUGCGCAUGAAAGAAAAAUUGUAACAAAAUAAUGAGAAGAAGUAAAUAUUGGAAGCUAGAAAUAAUAUACAAUUUUUUAUAAUUAUAUAAUUUUAUAAUUUUUAAAAGGAUAUUCAAAAAUAUAAUGAAAAUUUCAAGGAAUAAACAUUUAUGUUACAAAUUUAUAAUUUAAAAUAAUACAAUGUUUCAAUAUUAACAAUUCAUUAACAUUUAAUAAUUGAAUUAUAUUAUUCAGCAUUUGUACACAACAAAACGACACAAAUAUAACAGAACAGAUAUAAUUCCAUGAAAAAAAUCAUUCCUCAAAAAAUUGGAAAAUACUGUCAUAACUAAAACAAUUUUCAACAAAAUUUGUUUCAUGGUCUCACAGUGAAGAUAAGAAUCAUAAAAAAAACAAUUAUAUCGUCGGGAUCUCGAUGACAAAUCGUGGUGAAACCGCAAUUAUUUGAUGUUAAACUGUUGUUGGCAUAAACUGAUCGCGACUGCGACAAUCCGUUGCAAGCCGGUUAAGGGCUCGAUUUGUAAAGCGGAUUUUCUCGUGAACAAGCAUUCUUCUUUCGCAAUUAGGAAACGUUUGGCGUGAAACAAUGAACCUCGUCACCUGAUAUUUUCAGAAAAAUGAUCGUGGGUAGAUCUCGAACUCAUUUCUUGUGCCAUGGAAUCUGUAUAAGUUUAACGAUGAACGUUACGAAAGAAUUAAAGGAGAAUAUUUUUCUACAAAUUUUAUCGAAAAUGUUGAUUUUUUAAUAUGUUAAAUACGCAAUAUAUAAUAUGUUAUAUACGUAAUAAUUAGAUUGCAGAUGUCUUACCAAAUUUAGAUAUAAAUUUUAAAAAUCCAAUCAUAUUUUUUAUUAAGAAAGCAUAUAAUUUUUUGUCUUGUUCAUGUCAUGACUGAAAAUUAUAAUUCAAAUAUUAGAUCGUGAGAUUUUUGUAACAAAAAUGUAUUGAAAUUGUAAGAUAAUUGUUAAGAUAAUACUUGAAAUUAGAAAUUGCUCGAAUAAUCGAAGCUUCACAGCUUAACCUCAAAGGCUGACAAUCUUGAAAGUUAACCUCGUUGCUCGAAAACUUAAGACUCGAGGUUUAGCUUUUGAGGCUUUUGAAGUUAAAGCAAAUAAUUUAACUAAACUUUAUAUGACUCAAUCUUUAAAGUUGAGCUUUGAAAACUUCAAAGAGUUAAACUAUAUGUUAAUAUCCUCACUUGUCAAUCAGUUAUUUUUUAAUAAUUAGACGUGAUUAUACUUAAAUACGAUGAUACUUUUGAGUUAAUAAUUGAGUUAAUUAAGUCAAAAUUAACUUUAUUUUUUAAAAAAAAAUUUUUUAUUCAUGAUUUCUUUACAAUUACAAUCUUAAAUUUCAAUUAUCAUAAUUUUAUUAGAUUUUAGAAUAACAUUAUAACGUUUUGAAUUUCUCCGACUAUUCCAUCGUAGCUGGCUACAUUGUACGUAACCUUUCAUGCUCAUUUCUAUUGUCGAGCGUUCGAAGAUCACUCGAAAGUGACGAAAUCGGCGUGCAUUAUACCAAGUAAGUGCCACCAACCAACCUCUUAGACGAAUCUCACGUUACGAAAUGUAAUCAAGAUGCGCGCUCCUGUGAAAAAGCAGACUCCCUAUUUCGUCGCGUGUGUGCAUGCGCAGAAAAGAAAAUUUUGCAAUGGCUGCGAUGUAAUAAUGACUUUAUUUAGGUCGCUUAAAAAUCGGAUUGAUUUGAAUUAUUAGUGGUGCGUGAUGCGAGAGAAGAAAUUAAGUGAAAUUGAGACAGAGAUAUUGAAAUGUUCGAUUAGAUUGAUAUCUAAGUAAAAAAGAAGUUAUUUAGUAAACUUUACUUAUUUUAGUAAGAAAUCUAGGUUAAAUAUUUGAAUUAUAAAUUGUAAUGGUGACAAUAAUAUAAAAAAUGACAUUACUUAACUGAAGAUUUUUAAGAUAAGUAUUUUUCAAUCUUUUUCGAGUUUCGAUGUUUUUUGUGAUAUUUAAUUUACAAUUUAAUUUACAAUUCUUUCAUGCGAGAUUUCGAUCUCCAAUUUGAAAACCAUUGGCAGAAAUCAUAUUUUAUCGAUAACAAAUUAACGAACGAUGAAAAAGAGACGAAAGAAAAGCGAAGACAAGACAUAAUUAUCCAAAAUUUUGUCAUUUCUUUCAAUUCAAUUUUCAUUUCAUCGCCAUUAUUUGAUUCCGGAGCCCACUUUGUAUCAUCGUCUCUAGCUAUAUCUUGAGUUACAUCAUCCAUGACGUUAAGUGUCAGUGAAUCACUUUCCGUCCACUGAUCAACGGAUGACCUCAUUUGACUAACAAGUUUAUGAGUCAAACUGUUAUAUUAAGCCAAUCAUUGGACGAUCCUUUUUAAUUCUUUUGCUCUCCAAUUUUGUCCUUAAAUAUGUACUUACACGAUUGAUGAAAAACGAGAGAAAGAAAGAAUAGAAUUCGUAUUAUUACAUAUCAAGAAGAGACAAUAUUUUUUUUCUUAGUUAUCUCCAAGUUAUUGAUAAUUAUUGCUUUUACGUAACCGUUUGGAAACUUUGGAAAAGGUUAAUACAUCACGAAGUCAUCAAUUGCACGUUUCUUGUUUAUCUUUUUCCUUUCGUGUUAUAUAAAUGUUUAGAUAAGAGUGAACUUCAUCCUGCUUUUGAUUUUACUUUGAAAGAUAAUUGUACUUACAAUUUUAGAUACAAAACUCUUUUUUAAUAAAAUAUUUAAUUAUUUCUUUUUUUUUUAUAGAUAUCUUGUAAAUUUCAUAUUGAUGAAGGAAUAUGUUUUGUAAAUUAACAUUGGCAAUGAGCACUUAUUUUAAAUAAAGAAGUUAUUUAUCUAUAAAAAUUAUCACAAUUGUCAUUGAGGAUCUUUUUCAAUUCAACAGUUUUUGAAUUUUUUAUGAAAAAUCAUCGAUAAUUUAUAUAUACUUAUAAAUGCUGAUGAAAGAGAAACUAUUUGGUUGAAAUUAAGUCAAGUCACGUAGUAACAUUAAACAAGGAUUAGAGACGACGAAUAAAUUUUUAUUACUUAUUCAUCGCGAUUAAAUCAUCCUUCAAUAUCAAUAAUAUUUAUUCAUUGGAAAUAUAAUUGUUGAAAGCGUUUUACAAUGUAUCUAUAAUUCUUGAUAAAUUAAUUACGCCCAAAA